rnacentral:lncRNA from 1 species
GGAUACCCUGUCAUCAUCCACAGGACUGCAAAUCAAUUUGGAUCUUCUUUGUAUGCUGUCACCUCUGUGAAAAAUCAUGUUUUUUUUUCUGGAUCUAUGAGGGAUAUAUAAUUAUUGAGGCAAUAUUAAGACUAUAAGAAGUGACUGUUUCUGUGGGGCUGCUGGCACAAAGUUCCCAGGAAAAGCACAUGCCUGACAGAGCUGCUGUAACCCAAAGAAACCUAGAUGGUGGCUGAUGAGGAACGACACCUGAUAAAUAACAAAAGCUUGUUUUAAGUUUAGUUCCUGUGGAAUGAAGCUUCAAAAUCAAAUGUAAGAAAGAAAGAUCAGAGUGUAGGAUGAGUGGAGAACAGAAGCAUACACCGCCUCUGAAAGAGGGGAGAAAAGGGCAUCUUGAACCAUUUGUGAAAAGAAAAGGAAGAAAUUGUUAA